rnacentral:rRNA from 1 species
GGGCUACGAGUGAGGCUUUGGGUCACCUCCCACCCGUGUUUAUUUUACCUUGUUGCUUCGGCGGGCCCGCCUUUACUGGCCGCCGGGGGGCUCACGCCCCCGGGCCCGCGCCCGCCGAAGACACCCCCGAACUCUGUCUGAAGAUUGAAGUCUGAGUGAAAAUAUAAAUUAUUUAAAACUUUCAACAACGGAUCUCUUGGUUCCGGCAUCGAUGAAGAACGCAGCGAAAUGCGAUACGUAAUGUGAAUUGCAAAUUCAGUGAAUCAUCGAGUCUUUGAACGCACAUUGCGCCCCCUGGUAUUCCGGGGGGCAUGCCUGUCCGAGCGUCAUUGCUGCCCUCAAGCCCGGCUUGUGUGUUGGGCCCCGUCCUCCGAUUCCGGGGGACGGGCCCGAAAGGCAGCGGCGGCACCGCGUCCGGUCCUCGAGCGUAUGGGGCUUUGUCACCCGCUCUGUAGGCCCGGCCGGCGCUUGCCGAUCAACCCAAAUUUUUAUCCAGGUUGACCUCGGAUCAGGUAGGGAUACCCGCUGAACUUAAGCAUAUCAAUAAGCCGAGAGGAA